rnacentral:misc_RNA from 1 species
GUAGGUGAACCUGCGGAAGGAUCAUUAACACGUAUCCAACGUUAAACCCCCCUGUGGACUUUUACUCUUGCUCUCGAAGCUCAUCGGAACUGCAAUCCCUGGUAAAUCAUUGUUGAACAGAUUUUGAUUCAGGGACCUCAGUUUGGUGAGUUAGAUUGAGCGAUCGUGCGCAAGUGGCCUGGUUUCCCCAAGCAGUCAGUGUCUGGAAGUGUCAUUGAUUGUGUAAGGAGAACGCUUCUCGGCCGGUGACCAGGUUGCAGUGGCUUCGGCCCCCAUAUUCACCCCACUACCUUUUAGUCGCCUCGUAGGAAACUGCUGGGCAUCAAACGAACAACUGUUAACAAAUCUUGGUUCUC